GUCGCACUAUCCGUUUAUACACCAUAUAGCUUUCAGUCUCCGUCUCUUUGAGCUACCGAUUUACUGGAUUCCGGCCGUUCAUCUGAAAAAAUGGCUGAAAGUUCCGAUUCAACAUCACUUGACAAAGAGAGUGUCAGCACCACUGCAAAUAACAAACGCGAAGCUCAUCCUGAUAGCUCGGAUUCCGUAACAAAGAAGUUGAGAAGUAGCGACACUCAUGACGAGCCGAAGACUGAAAUCACUGUCCCGAAAAAUGGAUGUGAAUUGUAUUUUGAAAUAGAAGCUGAUGCAGCUGAGGAUAAGGGUUCCAGACACACCAUGGAGGAUGCUUCUGUUGUUCUUCCUGAUGCUGGCCUUGAAUUUCCCGGGAAAUUGAGAUGUGCACAUUUUGCAAUAUAUGAUGGGCAUGGAGGUCGAUUAGCUGCUGAGUAUGCCCGGAAGCAUUUACAUGACAAUGUUCUAUCUGCAGGCUUACCACUUGGAUAUUAAAGCAGCCAAAAAGGCCAUACUCGAAGGAUUUAGGAGAACUGACGAGUCUCUUCUUCAGGAAAGCACCAAAGGUGGUUGGCAAGAUGGAGCGGCUGCAGUAUGUGUCUGGGUAUUAGGAUCCAAAGUGUUUGUUGCUAAUAUUGGAGAUGCAAAAGCAAUUUUAGCUCGGUCAUCUCCUAGUGAUGGUUCAAACAACACUUCUGAUGGAUCAACUCCAAUAAAGGCCAUAGUCUUGACCAGGGAACACAAGGCUAUAUAUCCUCAAGAACGUGCACGUAUCCAAAAAGCUGGGGGAUCUGUCAGUUCUAAUGGACGAUUGCAAGCGCGCCUUGAAGUUUCCAGAGCUUUCGGAGAUCGGCAGUUCAAGAAGGUUGGUGUCAUUGCAACUCCAGAUGUUCACUCAUUUGACCUUACCGAGAGAGACCACUUUAUCAUUCUUGGCUGUGAUGGCUUGUGGGGGGUUUUUGGGCCAAGUGAUGC
rnacentral:misc_RNA from 1 species